AUUGAACGCUGGCGGGAGGCUUAACACAUGCAAGUCGAACGAGUGGCGGACGGGUGAGUAAUGUCUGGGAAACUGCCCGAUGGAGGGGGAUAACUACUGGAAACGGUAGCUAAUACCGCAUACCAUCGGAUGUGCCCAGAUGGGAUUAGCUAGUGGGUGGGGUAAAGGCUCACCUAGGCGACGAUCCCUAGCUGGUCUGAGAGGAUGACCAGCCACACUGGAACUGAGACACGGCCCAGACUCCUACGGGAGGCAGCAGUGGGGAAUAUUGGACAAUGGGCGCAACCCUGAUGCAGCCAUGCCGCGUGUAUGAAGAAGGCCUUCGGGUUGUAAAGUACUUUCAGCGGGGAGGCGUUACCCGCAGAAUAAGCACCGGCUAACUCCGUGCCAGCAGCCGCGGUAAUUC
rnacentral:rRNA from 1 species